AAUAGGCUAAUUAAGAGCGUAAGGGGAAUGCCUUGGCUCUCAGAGGCGAUGAAGGACGUGAUAAGCUGCGAUAAGCUUUGGGGAGUGGCACAAACACUUUGAUCCGAAGAUUUCCGAAUGGGGCAACCCGGCAUAUUGAAGAUAUGUCACACUGUAAAGUGAGCAAACCUGGUGAACUGAAACAUCUAAGUAACCAGAGGAAUAGAAAACAAAAGUGAUUCCGCUAGUAGUGGCGAGCGAACGUGGAACAGCCCAAACCUAUGUUGUUACGGCAAUAUAGGGGUUGUA
rnacentral:rRNA from 1 species